CUGAAAGUCGGUUUCGGCUGACACUUACAGAUGGGCCCGCGGCGCAUUAGCUAGUUGGUGAGGUAACGGCUCACCAAGGCGACGAUGCGUAGCCGACCUGAGAGGGUGAUCGGCCACACUGGGACUGAGACACGGCCCAGACUCCUACGGGAGGCAGCAGUAGGGAAUCUUCCACAAUGGACGAAAGUCUGAUGGAGCAACGCCGCGUGAGCGAUGAAGGCCUUCGGGUCGUAAAGCUCUGUUGUUAGGGAAGAACAAGUACCGGAGUAACUGC
rnacentral:rRNA from 1 species